GGGGGAUUGGUGAAAUGGGAUCACGUAGCGUUUGCAAUGCUGAGUUAAGAGUUCGACUCUCUUAUUCUCCACCA
rnacentral:tRNA from 1 species